ensembl:lncRNA
CUCCGCCUGACCGCGGUGCGGAACGCGCCGGCUCAGGCGAGAUCACUGUGUUUCGCAGCGGACGGGACCGCCGCGGUCCCUUUGCGGCCGCGGUCCUCGGAGCGGCGGCUCGCGCCGUUGCAGAGCCAAGAGCGCCCCCUGGCGGGAACGCGGCGGCGGUCCUCUAUGGCCUCUGUGUGCGAGGGGCUUGGGACGGGCGGCGUGCAGGGCGGUGCGCCGGCUGGGAGGGCUCGGGAAAGGGGAAAUAGCAGCCGAGGUGAGAAAGGAGCGUACGGAAAGGGUGGCAGGGCUGGCUGGUCCUCACCAGAUAGGUGAGACUAUGCAAGAUAAUCGUUGUCAGCUUAACGGAGAUGAGAACCAGGGGAAAAGUUUGCCUCUCUCAGAUUUCUAUAGCAAUUACAAUUAUAUACUGUGUAUUUCCAUCAUACCUCCACACCAUAAAAACCACAGAACUUCUGUCAGGGUGAUACAGACAUUUACUAUAGUCAACAUAAGAUGCACGAAUUAAGGAGUAGAUUAAAGUCCUACUGACUUUUUUUUUUUCCUUCACAAGAUCCCAAUUAAAUUAAACCUAAAAAGAUAUUAAAACAUAAUGUAAUGCUAAAAUGGGAUGGAAAGUACCGCAGUAAUAGCAGGGCAGCAGUCUCCAGCUACAGCAAAUGAGAACAAGCCCAGGUACAGCAGCUACAGAAAUGAAGGAAAAGAGCCACUUACCUUUAGAAGGCCUCAGGUAUGCAAGGAUCCCCAGCAAAAAAAACCCCUCACCUCCACUGCCAACCCUUAAAUGAGGUCUGGGAAGGUGUGGAUCCUGGCUCCACCUCUUCCAGACAUUCAGGUGCACUGCACUGCACUGCACUUGUGCUCCCCUGGGUUUGCCCUGCCUUCCACCAGGUGCUCAAUCACUGCUUGAGGUUGUGACACGUAUAAAUGGAACUGCUUUGUUUUCAGUGAAAAAAAGGUGUGAUAGAAGUAACCCUAGAAGAAGGUAACAAUAUGCUAAGGAAAUAGCUAUUCUGGGGCACUUCAUUCCUCGUGUAGAUAGGUUGUUGAGAUAACGGAGGCACAGAUAGUCUCACAGUAGACUUCUCCAUGGAGUUUCCUGUAGCCUGUGUUUCUCAGUUUCUGCUUCAUAUUGAAGUAGCUUAUCUAAUGCAACUUUCUGUGUUUCAAGACUGCAUGAAGUCUGCAACACAAGCAUGCUGAAAUUGCAUCAGUCUGACAAAAGCAAGGUGGUAGAUAAAAAACAUCUAUUUGUAUUUGAGCUUGCAAGCUAGCAAGUACCUGCAGUGUUUCUUUUCGUAUUCUUUUUUUGUAUAUUCUGCUCCUAAGGCAUGCUAUUGUUCCUUAGUGGGUGUGUUCUGUAACAUAAAACAACUGAAAAUACAGUCUCCUUGGAGCUUACAUAAACCACUAGCAUCCCCCUGGAGAGCAUAUUUUGGGAAGCUCUUAAAUGAAGUGUUCUGCUGGGAGCGUGGCAGUGGUGCUUCUGUACCAACUGACCGUGGCUGAUGAAGUGUGAAAACUGAUGCCUUCUCCUGUGUCAGCAACAUUCAAUUGGCAGGACUGGGGAAGAGCAAUAGGGAACAAGCUGUCAUUUUUUUCAAGUAUGCAUUCAGAGUGAUAGCAAAUCAUAAUUUGGUUUAGAAUUGUUGAGUCUUAUACAAACAAAAUUCCCUGCUAGAUAAUUCUUAAAAUAGUAUUUUUUAGGUCUUAUUAUUGCCUGAGGUUGUUUGGUGUUGUCACAUCCUGAAUAGGCAAUUCUAAAACAGCACAGGAAUGUUAUAAUUUAUUUAUUAAAAAAUGUACUUGUUGCUAAGCUUCACUCAGUGUUUUGCAAGGCAAUUACAAUUCACAUUUUGCCUCUAUAUUUAUUAUGAAGUUACUAAGCUGGAAAAACAACAACGAAAACCAAACUGAGUCUGUAUUUAGCAAAUAGAGUUAAAAGGUAAUAAUCUUUGAUGUAUAACUAUGCUUUCCAUGUCAGUUGAUUUUUUUUCCCCAAAUGUAUUUAUAUUACUUGAUUUGAUGUCUCCUUUUUGGUGGCUCUUGUUUCUUCUUCUGUCUUACUUAGUUUAAAGAAAAAAAAAUCAUAUUUUCCAAGUGGUGUAAAUGUUGUGUCAUCUUUAACUUAGGAAGAAGUAGCUUCUGAUAUGCCUCUAUCUUAAUGAUUUCUUUGUUGUGGCUGAAGUCACUGGUGAAUUCUUUCCUCUGCCAACAUUUUUAAUGAUUAGAAUACAUCAGUUUUGGAAGAGACUGCCAGUUCUUAACUCCUAGAAAUAAUCCCUUAUUUUAUCAGUGUUGUUCACCCAAACAGAUAAACCAAUUAAGUAUGAGAAUAGGUAGAAUCAAGACCCAGGGUUAGGUCACAUUAAAUCCUAUUUUACAGCCAUUGCUUGCUAUAUAGAUGCAUGCCCAAGCACUUGCAGUGGGAUGUGUUGACUUCUGUGUGGAAGUCAGUGCAUAUGAGAAGAUCAUUAGGACUGCAAAGAGCCACACAGAAGUUACCAAACACCAGCAUUACGGUUAAUUCUGUGCAGCGUAAUGUCCUUUGGUGCACGCAUUGCAAUCACUUAGAAUGCUGUAUGAUGGUGGAUCCUCCCACUCCAGAAGGUCACCCCUGCGAAUGAGACUGUUCCCUUUGUUCCUCACCUUCAGCCCUGUUGCAGUUCUCAGCUUUCUCCAGAUCCUCCAGCUACCCAUCUCCUUCUCCAGUGAGCCAGGACAAGGCAUUCUGGCACUCAGUACCUCUUCCUUCCUUCUCCUGCUUGGAUCCUCCCUGUUACUGCUCCUUUUUUUGCUCACCACCUGCCGUGGACCGCUCAUCACAGGAGGCCUGAAAGGACUGCUGUCUCCCUUGAACAGAAUCGUUGUGGCUUUCUUUAUUUUUCUUUAACAACCACUGGGGGGUUCUUCUUUCACUGCUAUUGCUGCGCACAGUGAUGGGUCGCUGUGGGUAGAGGAAGAACGUCGCCGCUCUGGCUCUGCUGCUUGACUUUUGUCACGAUAGGGCACAAUGCCUGUUGUGAACAGGGGAGUAAGAUCUGAGAGAAAUUGAUUCUCCAAACAAACUUUUCAGAGGCGUAGCAAUAGCAUCAUUUGAGCUAUUUUUUUUUUUUUAAUCGGGAAUCUGUUCUCCCCUUUUGAUUCCUCUACAGAAGUUCGGAUCAGCUGUGAAAUAAGACGACAUUUGGACUUCCUGAAGGUAGGAUCAAAAAAUGUCACUUGUUGGUUUCUUGUUGUAAGUACUUAAAGAACGUUUUUGUCCUAUUCUCAACUUCCAGGAGAGGGUCCUUUCCCUUCACAUUAACAAGGAGUCAGGACGUGAGGCCUGCACCUGUCUUCACAUUUCUGGGAGAAGUGACUGAAGUUCAGACAGUGAACAAGUAACUGAGAACAAGCAUCAGAUAAACCCAGAAGCUGUGCUGCACCUUUGGGAAGACAUUCUGAUGCACUGAAAGACUUCACUCAUUGGUGUACCUAGAGAAGCUUUCCCUAUGGAAAGAAGCUAUUCUAAGGACAUGGAAAAGAACAGCUAAUGACUAAUCGAGCCUCUGACUUUCUCUGAUGCGAUAAAAAGGACAAAAGGAAGAGCCUACAGGAACCAGCGCAGCCAGACUCUUGUCUUUGUCCAGCACUGCCUUUUAAUUUGUGUGAGAGAACAGCAGGAGAGAUCACUUCAUGCUGUGUGUAUUGCUGGCAUGCGGAGUCAGGAAAAACAGACGCUCCUGAUUUGCUUUGAGAAUGACUCCCUAAUCCAGGAUGCUCUUCUGUUAAUGAAGCAGCCCCAUGGUGCUAGGGCAGCCCAGUAACUUUUGUUGUAAUAUUUAAAUCCUGUGCACACGGCAGCAUUUCUUGCCAGCUCUGCUCUGCUAGCUCUUGUUACGUUUAUAAGUGUGUUAGGUUUUCAGGUUUUCAUUUUUUAAGUUAUCCCAAUAAAAAAAGAGAUGAGUCUUUCUCACUGAUUUGUGAUCAUCCUGUUUUUGUCACAGUUGUCUUAUUUUGAAUGUAAAUGACCUAGAUUUAAUUUUCUAACCCGAAAAGGAGGUGUAACGUAGAAGAUCCAACAACUAAAAC